rnacentral:snRNA from 1 species
GGAUGUGAGGGUGAUCUGGCUGCCACACCCAUCGCCCCACUGAUCACCAGGGUAGAUUCUGCCGGUCUGACUUGCCAGGCGGGUGUCCUCUUCCUUCCUCACCGUUCUAUGCGCAUCGCUCCUAUGCGUCCUUCCCAAAGCUGCAUACUCAGUGGAAGAGGAUGGCCUUGCCCAAAUAAAAGAGGGAGGGCCAGUCUCAUGCCAAGGGUAUACACAGAGCUGCUCUCCUCUGCUAGAAACUCCACAAGCUCCCAAUGUCCAAAUACAUUGCUAGAAAGUGUGACUUCAGCCUGACAGUGCUAGUAAAAGUCCAUUUACAGGGUCUUG